GGUGGCUCACGCCUGUAAUCCCAGCACUUUGGGAGGCCUAGGCAGGCGGAUCUCGAGGUCAGGAGUUCAAGACCAGCCUGGCCAACUUAGUGAAACCCUGUCUCUACUAAAAAUACAAAAAUUAGCUGGGCAUGGUGACAGGUGCCUGUAGUCCCGGCUACUCGGGAGGCUGAGGCAGGAGAAUCGCUUGAAACCAGGAGGCGGAGGUUGCAGUGAGCCAAGAUCAUGCCACUGCACUCUAGCUUGGGCAACAGAGUGAGACUUCAUCUCCAAAAAAUAAAGAAAUAAAAUAAAAUAAAGGUUUUUUCAUAAAUUUCCUUAUUAUUUUUUAAUAUUUGUAGGAUCUGUAAUGUUCUCCUGAUAUUGAUAAUGUAUGUUUUUUCUUGAUCAGUCUGACUUAAGAUUUAUCCAUUGUAUUGAUCUUUUCACAGAACCAGCUUUUGAUUGUGUUUAUUUUUGUGUUUUUCAUUUUCUAUUUCUUUGAGAUAGAAAGAAAUCCUUAUUGAUUACUAUAUCUUGCAUACAGAAGAGCAUUUAGAACACAUGCGUACUUUUCAGAAGAUCUAUAUAGCUAACACCUGGAUAAUCACCUCUCAGGUUGAGAACUACGACUCUACCCCUUCCAGAUUGCAUCCUCCUACCUCUCUCCUGGAUGUAACCUGUAUCUCAAAUUCGGGGAAGUCUGGCAAGUUGACGAGCAGGUAGAUCACUA
rnacentral:sRNA from 1 species